UGUUUGACUCCUUGAACAAUGCCCAUACCCCUCAGGGCACUAGGCAGUUGGAACGGAAGAGAAAUAGGAGUGGCGACGUAAUUGGCGGCGGUAAAUCCUUGUCUUCUACUGGAGAUGAAGCCCAAAUUUUACUACAGAAACACAGGCGUGCAGCAGCGGUUGGAAGUAAUAGGGAAAAAGAUGCUAGUGCAUACAUUUUAUUGAGAAAGGACAUUUUCAGUCUUAGGAUUUGGGUUUCAUACUUGGUAAUCACUUCUCUGUAACGAAGCUUACUGCUAGCCUAUCGCUUAGAGCCAAGUUUUGACCGUGAUUGCUCGUCACUUCGGGGCGCCUUAUUCCUUCACCCGAGAUCCAAGGCAGUAGAACACUUAAUCUUGAAAACCUGUCAAGUUAAAAUCACUAGUGGUCCAAACGCUGCAUGUGCUGUUUGUGCGGCAUUCUUUAUCGUGAUAGAGAAGUUCCUGGAGUGGCUUGAAAAGUGAGUUGACUUAAGUAAAGGACAACAAACAGUAUUCGUGGAUCGGGAAGACCAACUCUCAUUCAAGGAAACGGAUCGUUGACAACAACAGGCCAGGAAGAAAUAGAAAGCGACUAGUUGAUUAUAGAGUCAUAUGCUAGUAUCCAGAUCAUCAUUCGAUCAACAUACCCGGACUUCCGGCUCGGUGCAGCCUUCUAUAAUGUGCUUGAUGCUCAGAGAUGCCAUGCUCCGGUUCUGUAACAAUGGCUUCAGGCUGUUGAUGAAGAGGUGUUACUAAUAUAAAAAAGGCUAUGUUCAACACCAAUUUUGCAUUCUUCUAUCAUAGUCGGAGAUCUUGAUGGAAAUAUUUUUCGCAUAUGAUAGGGCCAUGAUAGGGAGCACACAAAUUGCUUCACUUAGAUAAUUUAUUUGUAUACAAUGUCAUUCGCGGAUGCAUUCUCCAAACUGGGGAAAGCUAUGAUGUAAUGACAAGAUUUAGUAUUAGUUAAUUUAAGUAGUUAUUUUCGCAAUUCCUUCACUUGAUAAUAGAGAAGAGGGAAGACUAAUUGUUUCACUUGAUCGACAUGUAGAAAAUGGUACAAAUAUACAAGAUCCUAAUUACAAUAUCAAUCAAUUGAAAGACAUGCUGGAACAUCAUACUUGUCCUUAUCCCUUCUCUCUGGCUUUGUUUGGGAGUGAGAUGGAAAAAUAAGGGAGGACUUUGAAGGGAAAGGGAGGAAAGAAAAAGGAAAGAAAUCAUUCACUUUGUUUGUGAGUGUUUUUGGAAAGGAUUGGGGGAUGAAAAUACUUAUGAGCAAUAUUUUCAUUGUUUUGAUAGUAUUAUUAUGUGCUAGAAAAUGAUUAGGAAUUUUUUAUUCUAAUCCUCCAAUACCCUCAAAAAUCAUUUCACAUUGUGUUUUUUGAGUUCCUCCAUUUUGGAGUGUUUCAGUCCAAUAAAAAGUAAAUAAAUUGACAUGCAAAGUGAGGGGAAACUCUUCCUUUUCCUUCUCUGUUUAUUCUCUGUUUCAUUCUGCUUUAAACUCCCAAACAAAGCUUCAGUUGGUUAUGUAAUUGUAUACUAUGUUACUGCUUUGUUCUUCUUCAGAAUUAAGGUAAA